UACGUAGGGGCGCAAGCGUUAUCCGGAAUUAUUGGGCGUAAAGAGCUCGUAGGCGGUUUGUCGCGUCUGCCGUGAAAGUCCGGGGCUCAACUCCGGAUCUGCGGUGGGUACGGGGCAGACUAGAGUGAUGUAGGGGAGACUGGAAUUCCUGGUGUAGCGGUGAAAUGCGCAGAUAUCAGGAGGAACACCGAGUGGCGAAGGCAGGUCUCUGGGCAUUAACUGACGCUGAGGAGCGAAAGCAUGGGGAGCGAACAGG
rnacentral:rRNA from 1 species